rnacentral:rRNA from 1 species
GAUGAACGCUGGCGGCGUGCCUAAUACAUGCAAGUCGAGCGAACGGACGAUAAGCUUGCUUCUCUGAUGUUAGCGUCUGACGUGUGAAUAACACAUUGAUAACCUACCUAUCAGACUGGGAUAACUUCGUGACACCGGAGCUCAUACCCGAUAAUAUUUUGAACCUCAUUGUUCAAAAGUGAAAGACGGUCUUGCUGUCACUUAUAGAUGGAUCCGCGCUGCAUUAGCUAGUUGGUAAGGUAACGGCUUACCAAGGAAACGAUGCAUAGCCGACCUGAGAGGGUGAUCGGCCACACGGGAACUGAGACACGGUCAAGACUCCUACGGGAGGCAGCAGUAGGGAAUCUUCCGCAAUGGGCGAAAGCCUGACGGAGCAAGGCCGCGUGAGUGAUGAAGUUCUUCGGAUCGUAAAACUCUGUUAUUAGGGAAGAACAUAUGUGUAAGUAAAUGUGCACAUCUUGACGGUACCUAAUCAGAAAGCCACGGCUAACUACGUG